CCUACGGGAGGCAGCAGUGAGGAAUAUUGGUCAAUGGGCGCGAGCCUGAACCAGCCAAGUAGCGUGAAGGAUGACUGCCCUACGGGUUGUAAACUGCUUUUAGAAAGGAAGAAAGGGAGGCACGUGGGCCUGUUGGUAUGGACGUUAUGAAUAAGGAGCGGCUAACUCCGUGCCAGCAGCCGCGGUAAUACGGAGGAUCCGAGCGUUAUCCGGAUUGAUUGGGUUGAAAGGGCGCGUAGAUGGGUUGUUAAGUCAGUUGUGAUAGUUUGCGGCUCAACCGUAAAAUUGCAAUUGAUACUGGCAGUCUUGAUUACAGUUGAGGUAGGCGGAAUUCGUGGUGUAGCGGU
rnacentral:rRNA from 1 species